AACGAACGCUGGCGGCAUGCCUAACACAUGCAAGUCGAACGAGACCUUCGGGUCUAGUGGCGCACGGGUGCGUAACGCGUGGGAACCUGCCUUUAGGUUCGGAAUAACUCAGAGAAAUUUGAGCUAAUACCGGAUGAUGUCUUCGGACCAAAGAUUUAUCGCCUUUAGAUGGGCCCGCGUUGGAUUAGCUAGUUGGUGGGGUAAAGGCCUACCAAGGCGACGAUCCAUAGCUGGUCUGAGAGGAUGAUCAGCCACACUGGGACUGAGACACGGCCCAGACUCCUACGGGAGGCAGCAGUGGGGAAUAUUGGACAAUGGGCGAAAGCCCGAUCCAGCAAUGCCGCGUGAGUGAUGAAGGCCUUAGGGUUGUAAAGCUCUUUUACCCGAGAUGAUAAUGACAGUAUCGGGAGAAUAAGCUCCGGCUAACUCCGUG
rnacentral:rRNA from 1 species